UUUCGGAUCUGUGUUUUGCAUCUGAGCAAAGCCUUAUCCUGGAAGAAAGUUAAGAGAAGAAGCCAAUGGCCAUUAGUAUAGGCUUUGAUAGAUGGUCUCGGACAAGCUGCAGUUUUAAGCAGUGAGCGUGGCUUUUCUUUUGGAGCCAAUGAUUCACCAAGCUUAACCUCCUGCACUGUAUGAAAAGCUGCAGAAAGAAAUACAAAAAUGCAGCAGAAAUUGAGUAAGGAAUAACUCUUAGUUUGAUUCUUUCUUGUUUCUUUUUGUAUGAGUGAUUGCAGCUUGGUUUCAAUCUGGGAAGAGCCUUAAGAAAGUAGGGGAUUUUUAUUCUGCUAUAUGUUUUUUUCUGGAUCUGUAUAAGGGUUGGACAUCAUAAAAUACACUUGCACUGUUUAAUUUAUUUUAUUUUUUACUGACAAAAAAAGAAUAGCUAGUUAUUUUUCAUACUGAAUGAUCAAUCACUAAAUAUUACCUAAUAGAACGAGUAACCAAUUUCACUUAAUCUCAAAAGUAAUUCUGCACAUACAUAUUAAUUAGAUUUAGAUGCAGUCUCAAACUGCGAAUUUUAUCAGACUUAAACAUGACCAAGUUUGAAACCACACAUUACUAUAUAAAGUUCUCUACAUUGUUUACAAACAAGCAGUGAUGCAAAAAUACCAUAUUGGAAGUAAUCAAGAAUGGAAGGGCUUAUAUGUAUGUGGAUUGAAUAUUUGAUCCAAAUAUUAUUUCCAGUACUUUGGAUUCAAUGCCUUCAUCUAAUGCUUUCCAAAUGGUAUUUGGUUCCCUAAACGGUAUUUGUUUUCUUCAAUUUUUUGGCUCACUUCUAAUGAUAUUGAUAUCAUUUUUCUUCGGAAAGGAAUCUAAAAGUUUGUGCAUGCCCAUAGGAAAUAGGAGUCUCAUUUUUUGAAACUCAAACAACUUCACACAUUCAUAAUUCUCAUUUUUUUGUUAUCACUCAAACCAGUUUGAGUUGGUGGUGGCUGUGGCCUGUUUGUGAAAAUGCUUGGGAGAGCCAUGGAGCACAAUGGCCGUGGGUUUGCAAAGAAAGGCAAGGAUAUGGUGAUGCUUAUUGCAAAAUGAAUGAAAUAAGUUUUUUGUGCCUGAAAAUUGGGGGAAAUGCAAAGAGUUAACUUGCCUAGUUGGUACUGUGCAUAUUCUCUUGUUAAUGGGUUGUCAUGGCAUAUUCUGUGAGUUUGAGGUUAUUUUGUACUCAUAACAUUUUUUUCCUGUGACAUUAAUUGACGUUGUAGACGUGAUAUUUGGUGAGGAUGUAACACUGACUCUAUAUUAUAAUAUAUGACCCGUAACACACGCAAAAUUGGUUACUCGUGUGUCUGUAAGUGGUUAAUUAUGUGACGCACGUAAAACUGGUUAUUCGUUUGUGUAAGUGGUUACUUAUGUGACAUUUAUGACCAUCCACUCUUCAUGAAAAAAAAAAUCAUUUUUUUUAAUAAGAACCAUAUAUUACAUCGGUUAUAUGACUUGACUGGUGUAAUAACCCUACCAGAACUACCCAGCUAUAGGUUCCUCCACAUAUACUGGUACACAUAAAACUGAUUACCCGUAUGUCUGUAAAUGGUUAUGUAUGUUCAGCACAAACACCUUACAUGAACUAUUACUGUCAAUAUUUCAAAAAUAGGUUUCUCUAAACACCCUAUUCAGCACAAACACUUGCAAUCUACCUAAAAAUCCAGAUACAAGGAAUAUAUCACCUCAAUAAUUACAUCUAAACUGAAAUCAAAUUAAAUGAACACUUAUUGAUUAACAUAAAAUGGUCUCCAAAAUUGCCAAAUUUUUUUCCAAGAACUCAGUCUUCAAACUCGGAAUUACAACUAUCUGAAAAUAAUUCUUUUUCUCAGUUUUUCAAAAAAUUUCAUUCGACUUCAAAAUGUUUUGAAAGAGAGAGUUAUAUAGACAACAGAUCGGUGAAUCUUUUCUCCUUGUAUGUUGCUCUUUUUACCCAUUCUUACCAAAUUAAAGACUUCCAACUUACACUCUAAUAGAAAUUAGUUAGUUGUCGUUCUGUUCUGGUACAUAUAUUAUUAUGCAAAAUACCCAAAAAGGUUAAUACAUUAUGUUUUUCUUUCAUAACAUGAAACUAUACUAAACUUAUCCCAUGUUAUAAGUCAUCUUUUUAAGGGGGAAAUGCUAUAUUGUCUCUUGGUAUCUUUUUUCCUGUGUAAGGCAAAUACUUAGCAUUUGGUUUUUUGCUAAAUGGCUUGUGAUGCUCAAAUCCCUUUUAUCUUCUUGAGUUGACAGAUGAUGAGAAAAGAAAACAACUUGACUGGAAACUAAGAUUAAGCAUAAUCAAUGGAAUAGCAAGAGUUUUUCUAUACCUUCAUGAGGACUCUCGACUCAGAGUAAUUCAUAAAGAUCUCAAAGCUAGCAAUGUUCUAUUAAACCAUGAUAUGAAUCCUAAAAUAUCAGAUUUUGGAUUGGCAAGGACAUUUGAAAUUGGACAGAACCAAGCAAAUACAAAGCAAGUAAUGGGCACUUAGUGAGUUUUACUUAUACCAAACAUAUCUUAUGAGUUCGACUUGUGAAUGCAUAUUUCAGAGUUUAAUGAUUGAAAAAAGGAAAUUGUUUGUUAUCACUAAAAGAAAAUCAUGAAAUAGAAACUAAUUUUUAGAGACCAAAAUAAUUAGUUACAAUAGAAACUAAAAUAGAGACCAUUUUAGAAACUAAAAAAAAAAUUGGUUUCUAAAUUAGUUUCUAUUAUUUUCUAUUAUUGUUAAAUACUUUUUAAAUUGGUAUCUAAUUAGCAACUAAUGUUUUAACUACCAAUUAUUUAGUUUCUAAAUUUGGUAGCAAAAAUCUUGGUUGCUAAUUAGAUAUCAAUUUACAGACUAUUUAAGAAUAAUAGAAAAUAAUUGAAACUAAUUUAGAAACCAAAUUUCUUUUUAGUUUUUAAAAUGGUCUCUAAUGUAGUUACUAUUGCAACUAAUUAUUUUGGUUUCUACAAAUUGGUUUCUAUUUCAUGAUUUUCUUGUAGUGUAUAUACUCGAAAAAAGAGAAAUUAACAAAGUUCUAUUGUUUUGCAUUACGCUAUGCAAAGAUUGUUUUCAGUGAAAUUUGAUGUUUUCAGCUUUGGAGUUCUAGUUCUAGAAACCAUUUGUGGAAGAAAGAACAAGGGAUUCUAUCUGUCAGAACAUGGUCAAAAUCUUCUUUUAUAUGUGAGUCAUCCCUCUGGUCUGAUUAACCAAAUAUCAACAAUACUAGCUAACUGAAGUAUGACAGUAUUAUUUACAAAUUACAGACCAACCAUGUCAGAUGUUGUUCUUAAGCUAGGGAGUGAAACCAUGACGCUUCCAAAACCCAAGCACCCAGCAUUUUCAGUUGGAAGAAAGGUGUCAGAGGAAGUACCAAAAUCAAAAAGAUCCAAGAAUCUUUAUAGUACUGAUUAACAAUCUCUAUUACUUUAGCGAGGUAAUAUAUAGUUACAAAAAUAAUUGAUCAGAAAUAUAAAUGUAAGUAUCACACGGAUCAUUGUUAUCAAUGAUUAGAUUUACUCAUGUAGUUAGUUACUUAGACAUAAAACACUACUACAGAUACGAAUAUUCUAUAAUCAUUCAGCAUCUUUUAUUAUAUAUAUCAAUACUACGGGAUAAUUUUUUUUUAUUUUUCCUGUCCUUCCUUUUAUAGUGAGCAUAGCAAAUAAGAAAAUGCCAAUGCCUGCCUCAGACAAGAGGGAACAUGUUUGUGUUCCUCACAAAUUCUCAUGGACAAUAUCUGCUCAGUGGCAGAUUAUAAGAUCAAUAAAUUAUUUAUUUCCUGUUACUAUAGCUUGUUAUAUUUGGAGCAGGGGAUAAUUUGACCAAACUGGUUUCGGAUCUGUGUUUGGCAGCUGAGCAAAGCCUUAACCUGAAAGAAAGUUAAGAGAAGAAGAUUAAAAUCUCUAAAAGUAGAAGAAACCAACAACAGAAGAAGCCAAUGCCCAGUAGUAUAGGCUUUGAUAGUAUGGUCUCGGACAAGCUGCAGUUUUAAGCAGUGACCGUGGCUUUUCUCUUGGAGCCAAUGAUUCACCAAGCUUAACCUCCUGCACUAAAGCUAAAAGCUGCUGAAAGAAAUACAAAAAUGCAGCAGAAAUUGAUUAAGGAAUAACUCUUAGUUUGAUUCUUUCUUGUUUCUUUUUGUAUGAGUGAUUGCAGCUUGCUUUUAAGCUG
rnacentral:lncRNA from 1 species